ensembl:lncRNA
UCAGCACACAGCAAGAUUUUGAAUGUGUCCUUUUGUUUCGUAUAGCUUAAGAGUAAGACUGUUGCCUAGCGACUACCCUGCAUUACAGCAUUACAACACAUACUUCAAGGCACAACCUCACGCCGUAACAGAACAACAAAGGGUAGAAUGGAGGGGGACUUAGGAGGUGGACAAGAUCCUUGCCCUGGCUCAUCGGCUCUCUGUCUCCACCCUGGGCUCCUCUCCCACCUGCUCCGCCACUGUCAGUCGGCCCUCUGGAGCCAUCAUGUUGGCUGCGGUCUGGGUCCAUCCUGGCUCCUCCCUCCGUCUGGUUCGCCAUGGUUCCUUCUGUCUCCGUCCUGGCUCUUCCCUCCGUCUGAUCUGCCAUGGUUCCUCCUGAUCCCUCCAUGGCUCCUCUUUCCACCUGCCCUUCGCUGUCUUCUGGGAGUGCCACGGACAGGGAAACGAUCUCUGUGGUCGUGGCAGGACAGACAGACAGUUCAGGGCAGACGAACAGUUCAUAAAUGGUCACCUUGGCCAUAUUGGGACAGGCAGAGAGUUCAGAAGACAGGAGAGGAGGUGUGUCAGAAUAAUUCUUUAAGAUCCUCUGAGUACAGCUGCAGCUCACCCUCAGCGUUGGAACACCCUCCACGCCCUCGCUCUCCAUAAUCCUCUAUGGCGAGCCUUGUUGCCGGCUCACGCACCUUGUCAGAUGUUCCAUAAGGCUCUGGCUCCGGGGCGAUCCUCAGCUCUGUCGCUUCAUUAGGUGAUGGCUCUUCAUCGCGGUGGGCUCUGGCUGUUGCUCCACGCAGCGGGGUGGUGUUUGGCUGGGUUCUGGGUCUGGAGUGGGGCUUGUGAGUUUCUCAUCAGUGUGGCAGAGGGUGAACGGGAAUCCGUUUCUCACCAGUACCCACUCUAUAAAGGUGGCAAAACUCUCCCAAGGACCAACUUCGGACAGCCACGCUCUGCAAGCGGUGCUAAGGCUCGCGUUGUAGAACGCACAGAGGCAGUCGUCUGGGUAGCUCGUGUAAUGGACUACUUCUAGGAAGAGUCUUGCAUAGUCAUCGAGAGUGUCCCCACCCUGCUCCAGCAGGAGGAGGAAUUCGGGAUGGUGGGUCAUAAUAAACAAAAAGAAAACUUUCAAAAACAAAAAACAAAACACGGGGACACACGCCGCUUAACUUUUUGGCCAGUUAUUCUGUCACACAUCUUUACUGUUACUUUUGAACAAUGUAAUGCAUCCUUUUGAAUAAAAGUAUUAAUUUCUUUUUAAAAAAUCUUACUGACCUCAAACUUGGUAGAAUGGUAGUGUAUACAAUUCUAACAAAAUUAAUACAAUAUAAUUUCCAAACUAAGAUAUUUCCACACUCUCUCACCAAUGAGAUCUCUUAUGCUAUCACAAAGUUCUGGUUUAAGUGUAAGACUUUGGGCUCUAAAGAGUUAAAUGCAAUGCUAAAGCAUUGAAACACGAGAGCUGAUGAGGAAGAGGAAAGCGAGAGAGGGCAUGAGGGGAAUUUCAGGGAACCAGGGUGAACAGUGAACGGAGAAUGGUCUUUCUUCAUUUCUCUUGUCUUAGCGCUGACUUUCAGGUGCUGAACUCCAUAGAAGUGACAGCUCUGUUCCUCAGCAGCCAUUAACAGCAUUGCUGGACUGACACUGCAAUGUCUGCUAUAUGCCACCUGGCACAAUGUGAGCACAGAAGGAAUUGGUGUCACUUUCUUGGCACUCAAACUACUUUGAAGACCCCAUUUCCUUGGCAAAGCUGAAUCAGCCUUGAAAAAUGCAACACGGCUGAGUCAUACUUCCUCCUGGAUAUGACAGUGCUUCCUCCACAAACUGAUCUGUCCUCCCUCCCCUCCCCACAUUUUAAAAACCGUUAAAGGGACGGAACAUGGAAGAAGUGAGAAGGCAAUGAGUCCACUCUGGUCUCAAAUGGGCUAUUCUAGACGGAGUGAAAAAGACGUGACUCAUAGAGGGAGCAAAUUGUAGUAGGAAGAGAGCGGACAAAUAUGGGCUAUGCACUCUACUUCACUGAAGACAGAUCCGCCAGGGCUGGACGAAAGCUUGUGGACUGGAUUGAAAGCGGUCAAGACCACACUGAAG